UCCGUAGGGUCCGAGCGUUGUCCGGAAUUACUGGGCGUAAAGCGCUCGUAGGUGGUUUGUCGCGUUGUCCGUGAAAACUCACAGCUCAACUGUGGGCGUGCGGGCGAUACGGGCAGGCUGGAGUACUGCAGGGGAGACUGGAAUUCCUGGUGUAGCGGUGGAAUGCGCAGAUAUCAGGAGGAACACCGGUGGCGAAGGCGGGUCUCUGGGCAGUAACUGACGCUGAGGAGCGAAAGCGUGGGGAGCGAACAGG
rnacentral:rRNA from 1 species